rnacentral:rRNA from 1 species
GUCCUUAGUUACCAGCACGUUAUGGUGGGCACUCUAAGGAGACUGCCGGUGACAAACCGGAGGAAGUGGGGAUGACGUCAAGUCAUCAUGGCCCUUACGGCCUGGGCUACACACGUGCUACAAUGGUCGGUACAAAGGGUUGCCAAGCCGCGAGGUGGAGCUAAUCCCAUAAAACCGAUCGUAGCCCGGAUCGCAGUCUGCAACUCGACUGCGUGAAGUCGGAAUCGCUAGUAAUCGUGAAUCAGAAUGUCACGGUGAAUACGUUCCCGGGCCUU